GUUUCCGGAUAAGUACUUCCAUAGAAACUGCACACCACACACUAACUGGAUUAGAGAGCAGGUAGAUUGAGGGAGGGGCGAGUAGACGGCCUCGCCGCCGGUAAAGGUUCGGCUCUCCGGCCAAACCCACUCCCUCCCCGAGCGACGGUCCGACGGCUGGACCUCCAUGCCCGCGUGCUGCGCCGCGGCCUGUCUCCAACUUCCCAGGAUCCACCGCCGUCCCCUGGGUUCACCGGCCGAUGUCGUGGACGACGGCUACUUGGGCGCCGUUAACCCCUCGUAGGCUGCGCCGCCAUCCACCUCGACGAAAUUUGGACGAUUCCUCCCGCGACGGGGAUCUGACGGACACCCAUGUCGCCGCCGUCAAAGAGGAGCGAGCUAUUCUUCCCUCUCUCUGGUGCGUGGGUGCCCGCCCCUGCGGGCGCUUCUGGAGCUCGCUAGAGGCACAUGAGCAUUUUGGGUCAAGACUGGCAAUUGCAACAGUAUAUACAUUGUGUUCCUCCGAUGGCUUGAGAUACGCUGAGAUGGAUCUUACAUAUUCAUUCUGAAAAUCUUCAAAUAUUUGAGAAUGUCAAGAUCACACUUCAAAUGGUCUUUCAAGUCACUAUUCAAGCUCUCACUUAAUUGUGUGCUUCUCAUGCCUAGAGUUGAAAGCUUCUUCAAAGGCUUCCUCAUCCUCAUAUUUGUACACGCAAGCAUUGAAAUCAGCAAGUACAUUUGGGCCAUCCUCAUCUUUGUUCUUAGCAGGAUUCUCAUUUUUUUUUCUCGAAAGUACUUAAGCAUACUUCCAGCUUCACCAUACAUCAACUCCCUUUGACGCUUGGUUCGCAAAUAGUUCUUGUUAUCACGAGGUGUGUACGUCAGGUUUAUUGAUCCACCAACUUGCCGACUUGCCAACUCAUGGGCUGCUUUCGGUACAAUUCCCGAAUCAUCUGCAGUUUCAAUAUCAAAAGCUUGCAAGGUUGAUAUCUUUCGUUGUGAUGGCAUCAAGUGGCAUGUUCCAGGCAACUGCAAGACAUGGUUAUGAUCAGUGACUAACUCAUGUACUUCAUAAUUUCCCGUUUCUCGGUCGAUGGUGAUUCCUAUUCGAACCUUGCAACCAGUCCUGGUUUCUGCACGAGGACGCUUGGAGAAGGAAGGUAAAAGGGAGAUCAUCUACAUUAAUCUCCUGUCAGGAGAAUGGCAAAGGGGAGAUCAACAACACCACUUACAAAUCAGCGACAGGAGGACGAUCAGAGAUAGACAAAAGGGAGAUCUCUAUGCCAACGUGUGUUCUGGUUACAAGGAGGACGAAGACGGGCGGCGCGAAGGCAUGGAGAUAUUUGGCGCCAACCUGCGUUCUGUUUAGCGCCAACUUGCCGUACGAGUUUUUUUAGGGGAUCUGCCGUAGGAGAUUUUGCAGCCAACAGUUCAGGUGUUUGUUGUCAUUUAUUAUAAAAGAAUUAAAGGAGGAAAUAAGAGCGGUCAGAUUGAAAUUAACGGUUGAUGUACACCGGUGCUGUAAUAGCUGCACUGCAGAGGAGCCGGACCCGCGACCGGCGCGUCGGUUCGGCCGGCGCGCUGGUUGGAAACGAUUCCCUUCGGUUAUGCAAUGGAAUAAAAGGAAAGAAAGAAAAGAUGCACGAUUUAAGGGUCGCAAAAGAUCCUUCUCUCC